UAAAGGGAGGGUCCUAAUUUAUAGAAAAUGGGGACUGCAGGAUUUGCGCCAAGUGGAAAAAUCUAGUGAGAAGAGAGAAAGUCAAUGGAAAAAAAAGUGAUGUGAUGAGUGACGGAUGUGACCGAUGGACGGACGACGUGACAUGACAACAACACAAAAAAUAGAAGCACGCCACCUUAAAGAUGGUGGCAUGUCGCCAAAGUGACGGUGGCACACUACCCAAGCCAGUAGCGGCUCGCCACCCAACCGACAGUGCAUGCCACAUAAAGUAAUGCACGAAGCCCAAGGGGGCAGCACGUAUUGCUGGAGGCAGCAGCUCGCUGCUCCAGUCAACAGGCCUAUUGCACAUGGGCUCAUGUGCGC
rnacentral:lncRNA from 1 species